rnacentral:tRNA from 4 species
GGGCCUAUAGUUCAGUGGCAGAACGGAUCCAUGGCAUGGAUCAGGCGGGGUUUCGAUUACCCCUAGGUCCACUA